UACACAACGUGCAAGAUAGCGCGGUCUACUUGGAACUCGUAUAACUUGAUAAAACAAGUGAGUUAAAAGCUGAAAUUGGUCUCAAAAUGAAGCUAAGACAUUAUAUGAUCUAUAGAAAUCGGUAAUACAGAUUGUCAGACAGAAUUAUGCGUGAAAAUGGCGAUAAAACUGGGACCAAAUCUGGAUCAUGAGGCGCUUGUUGAAAAGAUGUACUAUAUGUCAGACGUUAUUUAUACCAGUCGGACCAUAAAUUUAUACAUUCUAAGAGUGACUGACUUUAAACAGACAACACAACGGUAAUGUUUUGUUGAGGAAACAGUGACAUGGAUAUAUACAUAUUUGUAAUACAGGGCAGUCAUACUUAUAAUGUCUUAAGGUA